GCGAACCAGAAAGUUCUGCUCCUCCUUGUCUACCGUGCACGCUAUCCAUAAUGACAUCUCACGAAUCAUAUCGUGCAUCUUUACAUGAUCAUCGCCUUCUUCCUCCAAUAAGCAUGCAUGAAGAAGGUCAUCAAUAAAAUCGCAUCCACCAUCAAAAUCAUAUACAAAUCCUUCACUAAUCCAAUAAUCAAUCAAAUCCCUUUUAGGAAUUUCGUAGUCUUCAGGAUAUAAACAACAAUACAGGAGACAGGAACGAAGUUCGUCCGUAGACAAACUAUCAUAGCUGAACUUUAAACGCGAAAACACCUCUUCUUUCAUACCUGAGAAUUUAGAAGCUGAUGUUCUCAUUUUGUGAAUUGCACGUUUCCAAUCUCCAACUUUCCUUUGGCUUUUCAUGGCUCGACCCACUGUUUUAAGCGCUAGCGGCAACCCACCACACUCUCUUGCCAAGGUUUCGGCUAGCUCUGGAAUACCGGUAUGACUGUCCAGAGUGGAUCUGUCGACCAUCUCCUGAAAUAAUUCCCAGGCUUUAUCAUGCGCCAAACUAUACACUUCCACCUUUUCAGCGUCCAUUUGAUCGCAAACACCAGCUGAACGAGUUGUCAAGACUACUUUGGACCCAUCAUUUAGUUUUUGAAGAGGGACACCCAAUUCUGUUAAAUGAAUGGGUUUCCAUAUAUCAUCCAAUAACAACACAAACUUCCUUCUGCUUAAAAUGCUAGCGAUGUCCACAGCCUUGUCUUGAGGACUUUUUUUCGCCCAGCUUUGGUCUUCUGAAAAGCCAAUCCUUUUUCCAAUGUCAUCUUGAAGUGUUGACGCAGCCGCCCAGAUAACAACAUCAAAAUUAUGCUGUUGAUGGCAGAAGUUGUUGUUGACUUGUUUUAAAAGGGUAGUUUUGCCGACUCCCCCUAUACCAUACAAGCCGAUAAUUCCCCUGUUAUUUUCCUCAUCAGUGAUACAUCUCCAAACUCGAUCAAGUAAUAAUUCUUGACCAACAACUGUGUGCUCAACAGGUAAUUCAAUUGCUGCACCAUCCGGCGCCUUCUCAACAACCACUUCAAUUUUUUCUCCGUCUUUCUUUAAAUUGAUCACUCGAUCCGUCAACUCGACCACCUGAGUCCCGUAAUUGUAGCUUGAAACGAAGUUUUUGGAACAGAGGCCUCCAAGGCACAAUCUAUCGAUUUCAUGAGCUCUAACUCGUUCCAGCUCGGUAAAUUCAGUUUCCAGUUUUUGCACAUCUUCAAGCCACCCUGCGACCUGGUUCGUUCGUCUGGUUCGAGGUCGUUGUUCUUCGACCUCAACCUUGGUCUUCAGAUCGUCCCUUGCUCGAGUCAAUUUGUGCAAUUCAGUCUCCAAGACCCGAAGGUUUUUUUCGAGACCCCAUACAUAAUUUGCUUGUUCACCAACGCAGUUUGAAGUUCGAUCAAAUAAGUCUGCUGGUAAGAAGGUUGAGAUUAGGUUACCCAUUGUCGUUGACGAAAAGAGGAAGAGAAGCAACGAGUACAAUGAAAAGAAUUAAGCUAAUUUUUACUUAAAUUCUUAAGAAUUGCUGUCAAAUGCAAACAGAGUAUGAGAAUCAGGUCUUUAUUGAUUAUGAUGACUUGAAUGAAAAUGAAAUACAGAGCUUUGCUAGUUUACAUACAGAGACAAAAAAUAAUGACAGCUAGCCUAAGGGGUAUUACACGGAAGUAAUCAAAAUUGAUCCGUGAAUAUAGCAAUUGUGAACCAAUCACAUUAAGCUUCUAGAAGAUGCAACUAUUCAAUGCACAUGCGCUGCUAUUCUUCAACAUAACAGUUUUGCCAGCUCAACAAAUCCAACUCACAGAAUCAAGGUCAACCGUUGACUCUUCACAGCUGCUGCUUUCAACAAUUUUUAGAGAACCACAACACCAAAAUAAAAAUAUGAUACAUUUGUUGCUUUAUUCAUUAUGUCAAAUAUCAAGAAUAUAAUGAUACGUUUGCACGUCAUAUAAAAUUUGUAUUUCAACCAAGUAAUCACAUAGUUAAUAUUAAAUCUUAUCAUUUGUUAUCUAAGUGAUAAAUUUAUAUUGACAAUAUAUUAUUUAGAAUAAAAAUUUUCUACCUUAGGUUUGGAUGAAGAUCCAAAAUAUUAAGUCAAUGAUAGAUAGAUAAAAAAUAAAAUAAAAUAAAUUUUAACAUUAAUUUUUUAUUUAAUAAAAAGUAAAUUCAAUACAGAAUUCUAAUCCCUUAAUCUCUCUCCAUCCACGGCAAAAGAAAGCAGCAACUCAACUCUCUUUAAAGGCUAUGGAGGUUCUCUUGCGACCUCUCUUCAGCAUACCCUCCAGAACAUUAACCCCACCACCGCCAUCACCACCCUGUUAAACACGUUUUCAAAACGUGUAUAAUGUGGCCAUCUAAUUUAUUUUUAAUUAUUAGUUUUCUAAUUUAAAUUGAUAUUUAUCUUUAUUUAGUUUACUUUUAAAACGUUGGGUUUGGUUUAAAAUUUGAAUAAAGAUAAAACAUCUCUUCCUAAUAUCUCUCAUACACGUUACGGGUGGUUUACUAAAAUCAAGGGGAUAACGGCUCAUAACUUCCUCUUUUAUUUAAACUUGUCAUCUUGAUGGGAGAUGUUUUACGGUCACGUUUUUUCAAGAAAAAUAUUGAGGGUCCCUGGUCUAACAACAGAGCCUGUGUAUACCAUCUACUCUCAGGAAUUAAGUGUUGGAUAGACUAGAAAAUUCUGAGUACAAAGCAUGGCUUGUUUUCGUUGGUUUUGUUUGCAUUCCAGUAGAAAGGUUGUGUACAAUUGAAUUUGAUAACUAUGGCAGGAGGUAAGUUUUCUAACUUGUGCAUGAUGAAUAUAGUCUUUUACACCCCACCAAUCAUCUCACUCUCAAAACUCUCCAUUUUUGCCUCCAUUAAUUCCCACUCUCUCCAAAACCCUGAUUUCUUCCUCUUCUCGUUUCCUCUCGCCCGCCCCUGGUACGCCAAUUUCCAUUCUCUCGCUCUUUUUUUUGGCAAUUUUGGCUUGAGUUUUUUGGGUUUUUGGUAAUUUAUCUUUAAUUUUUGUGGGUAUCCUUCGUUUUUUUAGUUAUCAUACAUGAGUUGAGUAGUCGUAGACGAUUUUUUAUUGUUUUAAACUGAACGGAUUCUUUGUAUUUCGAAAAUGAAAUUCAUUGUUUGUGAAGUAACUUUUAAAGCUGUUGAGUUGAGUUUGAAAACUUAAUGUGCUUAAAUUUAUCUAUGUGGAUUUGAAUCAGUUAGACAAGCAGCACAGGAGAGCCAAUCGAGCGCGGAGGUGAAUGCCGAUAGAAGAGAAUGGUUUAUGCAAGGUACAUUAAUAGUAAUUUGAUCUGAUGCCAAUUUUAUUUCUAUAUUAAUUUAUUAGAUUAUGUAAUGUUAUAAAUUCUUUGUUCAAAAUGUAGAGCUUGGAAAUUUAGUCGGUACAUUAUGGUAAUGAAUGUAGCUUGUGUAUCUGUUCAAAUUUAUGUCUAGCUUUGCUGUUUUGGUAAUGGUUUGUUUAGUAUAAAUUUUGUGUUGGUUAUGAUGUUGUUUAGUGGUUUGGAUCACUCGUGCUCUUUUGGCCCCCACUAAAAUUAAUUUUUCAUCAAAGGAUAUGAAUAGUUGUUCGAUGGAAACUUAAUGGAAGAUGUGGGAGCAUCUUUAUGAGUUAAGAUUCCCUGUAGCGAGUAUAUCCUUUGGUGCAUGAGAGUUUAAGUGAUUAUCGUCAUUGUUGAGUUAAACAAUGGGAUUAAUUUUCAUGUUCAUGUAAGGUGAUCAUCGCUAAAGUUAGAGCCAUUAGGUGAUAAAUUGAUACUUCAUUGUGUUGUUAUGUUUGUUAUACUGGAUAAAAAUCCCAGUGAUAGAAUUCAUGUUAGGCGGUUUUGGGUCCUAUUCAAUCCCAAAAGAUGAAUAAGGGGUGAGGCUUUCCCUCACAAUUGUAAAAUCACCACCAUCCUAGUUCACAACCGAUAUAAGACAACCCAACAAUCUCUCCCGCACAUAUUGGGCCUUGGUUCAAAAGCAUGGACACUCGUUUUCACUAGUAGGCUGUUGGACUGAGAUGUUGGUGAAUCUUUUAGUUGAUUUUUUUUUUUUUAUAAAAAGGAAAAGAUUAUGAAGAGAUAAAUACAAUAAAGAAAAAAAGAGAUCAAUAUUGCAAUAAAACAUUUAUGUAGUGAUAUUUUAUAUAAGAAUAAUUUCAUAUAGCUAUAAAAGUAAUGGUCCUAAUUUAUAUUAGGCCAAUUAUAAAUAAGAAUAAAUUUCAUGCUGUAAUAAUUUAUAAUUUUGCUAAAUCUCACCUUAAGGAGCUCACCUCCACGUAGUGUAAAUAUAUAUAUAGAAAAAAAAAAUAUGUUAUAUUACAUUAAGUGAACUUGGGGGUUGUUUGGUACCCCUCUUUACCUGGGAUUGCAUUGUGUUAGCAAUGCAACCCCAUGUUUGGGGUACCAAAUGGCUAUAUUAGCUAAACUCGACAUAUAGUCGGGUUUAGCUAAUGCGUCCAGUUACCGCAUUAGCUUUAGCUUCCUCUUUUUUUUUUUUUUUAUACUUUGUAAUAAUGAUAAAUGAAUAUAAUUUUUAAUUUAAUAUUAUAUAAUAUUAUUUUUACUUUAUAAUUUUAAUAUAAAUUAAUAAAUUUAUUGUUUAAUAAUAUUAUAUUAUAUUUUAAUUUUUAUCAUAGUAAAUGUACAACUAAAAAAUGUAUUAUUUAAUUAUAUUACAUUAAUUAAUAUGUAAAAUUAUAUUAAUUAAUAUAUAUAAUUGAUUAAUUUUUAAUAAGUUAAUAUAACUAAUAAUAAAUACUUAAAUAAUAUAAUAUAAUAUAAUAUUAUUUAAUUUAUUAAAAUAAUUAAACUAGUUAUUUUUAAAUAAUUUAAUAUAACUAAUAAUAAAUAUUUAAAUAUGAAUAAAUUUGAAUAAUAUUAAUUAAAAAUUAAUAAAAUAUAUAAUUAUUAGAUUGUUUAGCACAAUUCAUUUUUUAGCACAAUUCAUUAGUAUUUUCUAAAUAUAUAAUUUAAAUUAGUCACAAAAAAUUAAUACAAUAUAGUGCAAUAUCAAAUAUAAUAUAAUUAAAAAUUAAAUAUAAUACAGUAUAGUACCAAACAUUAUACAACAUUAUUAUAAUACAUUACUAAUACAACACAACAUAAUGCAAUACACCUGCAUUAAAAUAAUGCAAUACAAUAUAAUAUAAUACAGCGUGCCAAACGCACUCUUGUAUCCAUAUAGUACAAAAACAACAUAAGAGAAAAAUGUUAAAGAGAACACAAAAGUUCAGAGACUUUUAAGAUAAUGUUUUAUAUUUGUAACAAGCAUGUGCUAACUUUUUUGAAACCAUGUAUAUUUAUUUUUUCCCUAAGUUACAUGCAUGUAACUUAGCAUUAGCCUCAUUUUAUUAUUAUCUAUACAUUGGAUUUGACAUGUUUCAUUAAUAAUUUAUUACUACAUCUCUAUUAAAAUAAUUGAGGUCCUGCACUUUCAUUGGAAGAUAGGAGAAAAAAAUAAUUGAUAAGAGAAGAAAACAAUUUAAAAUAAAAUUUUAAAAUAUUUAUCAUUACUUAAAAAAAUUAAUUUUCUUUUCCUAAAGUUAUUCCACAGACGGUAGUACAAAAUUAUGUGAUCACGCACGCACACAGUGAUAGGGUAAUUAUUGAAACAAAAAUGAAAUUUGUCUGUUUUCCAUUUGAAAUCUAUUACUAAUAUAAAGGAAAAGAAAAAUCUUUAAUUACUUUUUUUUUUUUUCAUGUAGGGCAAGGCAAACAUCACUAUCUUGUUAAAUUAAUAUUUAAAAUUAUCCCACCAAAUGUAAUUAUAACAAAUUAAAUAAAUAUUUACUAUGAGUUCAGCAUCUGGGUUCCCACUCCAUAAAUAUGCCAGCAUUUUAAAACAAACAAGACUUAGAGUGUGUUUGGGAUUGAGGUGCUGUAGCUUUUAAGCUACAGCUGCUGUGAAAAAAAAACUGUAAUUAUGAAACAAAAUUUAAUAAUAUAUAGUAAAUAUAAAUUUUAAAUAAUAAUUUUGAUAAAAAUAUUAAAGAUAUAAUAAAUUUUAUAUUAUACAAGUGAAAAAUCAUAUUAACAUAGCUUAAAAGCUACAGCAGCUAGUGUUUACCAAACACUACAGCUGCCCAACCUCAAUCCCAAACGCACUCUUAAGCGACAAAUACAAUUUUGUCAAUGAGUAUAAAGGUCGCAUUAUAAGCCAAAGGAGAGCAGUUAAGGGAAGAUAAAAUAUUAUUGUAUUGAACUGGUUAUUUCUCUCUAGGGGUGGCAAAAAAGUCUGGGCUGGUCUAGGCCCGCGGGCCUAAAGCCCGGCCCGUAAGGGUGGGCCCAGAUAUUGGCCUAAAAAUUACAAAGCCCACAUAUGUGGGAUCUGGACAAGGGCUUAGCAAAAAAGCCCGGACUUGGCCCAGGCUUUUUAAAUUUAUGAAUAAAAAAUAAAUUUAAUUUAAAUAAAAAAAGAAAAAACUCAAAAUAUUAAAUUAGUUUAAUUUUUUAUAUUAGUAUUUGUUAUUUUAUUAGGUUGUAUUAUUAAUAUUUUAUGUAUUGGACUAUUAUUCUAUUUUAUAUAUUAGAUGAUUAUCUUUAAUUUAAAUUUUUUCUUAAUUUAAAAAAUAUUUUAUAAUUAAUUUAAAAAGCCCAAGCCCGGCCCAGGCCCGGCCCGAGUUCGGUCCGUCCAAAUUUAAACGGGUUUUUGAAGGGCCUGGACUUCGUUUGAAUGAUGUGGGCUUGGGCCUGGGCUUUGAAAAGCCCGGCCCAAACCCGCAAAUUGCCAUCCCUAUUUCUCUCUCUUCUAUUAUUAAUUUGUUGUUAAUUAUAACCUUUGCGGGAUUUAAAAAAAAGAAAAAGGCCCUUGCGUUUUCAUCAACAUUACACUGCCAAAUGUGAAAUGGAUUGAGAACCACAUGUCCUUAUUAUGCUGCCACUCCACAAAUGUUUAUUUUCCCCUCAUUCUCCUUAGAAGCCAGAGGCAGAGUCAGUCCUGCACCCCUUUACGUAUGCCUUCUCCAUAAAUUAACAUAAACGAUUAGUAUUAGAGCUGGCAAAAUGGGUCAUCGGGUCGUGUUUGUAUUGUGUCAGCUUCGUGUCGUGUCAAAUUUAGGUCGACCCAUACUCGACCCAUUUAAUAAUCGUGUCAAAAUAUUGAGACACAAACCCGACACGGAAAAAUAAUCAGGUUAUCCAAUAACCCGCUAUCUAUAUAUUAAACAAAAGUUACAUCAAAUAUUUACACAUUUUCAUACAUACGUAUGCGCAUACAUACAUACAUAAUUUAUUGAUAUUAUAAAAUAUACAUAUCUACUAAAAUAUUAGACACACUAUUGAGGUUUUAAUUAUAUAUGUGUAAAUAAUAUUAUAUAUCAAUAUUAUAAAAUAUAUAUGUCUACGAAUAUUUUAUACAUUUAUACUAGCUCUAAAUGUAUUUAAAAAUUCAUAAAUAAAAUAUUAUGUCUAUAUUCAUCCUUUUAAAGAAUUAAAAAAAAUCAUCUCUAAUAUUUGAGUUUUGGUGACAAGAAUUUACAAAUUAUUUUAAAAUAGAAAAUAUAAUCGGGUCAUUGAUCGGGUAAAUGGGUCAAGAAUUUUAACUCUAACCCGACACGAAAAAAAAUCGUGUUGACCCGGACCCGACCCAUUUAAUAAUCGUGUUAAAUUCAACGACUCAUACCCAUUUAUUAGUGUUGUGUUCGUAUUGGGUAAUCGGGCCGUGUCAAAUUUUGCCAUAUCUAAUUAGUAUAAGAUGAUUUAACCACACAAUAUGUCAAAUUUACAUUUUGCAAUCAUUGAUACUUGGUGCUACAGUCAAAUUUAUAUUUAUUCAAGGUAGCGGGUUCAAUAAUUAAAUUCACAUAAAAAGAAAGAUGCAUUCACCCUUAAUGGCCCAGGAGCCAACCAAAUUCCGCGUCCGCGAAGUGAGGCACUUUUCUUAAAGUUAUUUCACAGACGGAAGAACAAAAUUCUGUGAUCACGCACAAAGUGAUAGGGCAAUUAUUGAAACAUAAAUAAUGUCUAUUUCCCAUCCGAAAUCUGUUCUAAUAUAAAGGACAAGAAAAAGUUUUAAUUAUUAUUAUUAUUAUUUUUCACGUAGGGCAAGGCAAACAUCACUAUCUUGUUAAAUUAACAUUUAACAUUGUCCCACCAAAUAUAAUUAUAACCAAUUAAAUAAAUAUUUACUAUGAGUUCAGCAUCUGAGUUCCCACUCCAUAAAUAUGCCAGUAUUUUAAAACAAACAAGACUUAAGCGACAAAUACAAUUUUGUCACCGAGUGUAAAGGUCGCAUUUUAAGCCAAAGGAGAGCAGUUAAAAGGAAGAUAAAAUAUUACCGUAUUUCUCUCUCUUCUAUUAUUAGUUUGUUGUUAAUUAUAACCCUUUUCGGGAUUAAAAAAAGAAAAGAAAAAGGCCUUUGCGUUUUCUAUUAGCAUGUGUACAUGUUUAUUUUCUGUGUUAGUAGUGCAGAGUAUAUACUGAACACACUGGACAAAAAGGGUAAUUUGUAAUCAAUUUAGUUUUAUAAACAUUAAUCUCGGAAGUAGUUACUGAACUUCAUGUGGAAAAAAAAAUAAAAAAAGAUAGUCGCUGAGCAAUAAAUCUACAAGUCAUCAAAAUCGAGCAAUUCUAUGGCAAGAAUUCUUUCCAGUGGGAGGAUUCUAAAACCAAGAAUCCACUGCUGAAAUUUUAUUCACUGAAAAUAGGGAACGAUUGACACACCAGACAACAAGAACAAGAUGCAAUUAAAUCUAAUGAAAAUUAAAAAAAGAAAAAAGAAAUACAUAUUCAAACAUAUUAAUGAAAAUCAUCCCCAAGUACGACACCGGAAGAGAAAGCAUUUUGGGUGGCUUGAUCCUCCCAUUGUAGCUCUUCCCACCAUUCUUUCUCUCCCUCGAUGACAACUCGACGUUCCUUCACGCUGCUGGAAUUGACUGGGAGCUUCUUCAGCUGUGGGCAUCCACGUACUUGAAUUUUCUUCAGCUUUGGAAGGGGCAGGGGAUUCGGGUAAACGCUCUUUAAAUUUCUUCCCCACUUUAUGGUUAGAGAUUCGAGUUGUGCAAAAAAGUUAUGCUCUGACCCGAUUAUCUCCGAAAUAUCUCUCAAUUUAUCAACACUAAUUAUUUCUUCCAUUUCUGUACAAAAGACUAUACGCAGCUGCUUGAGAAUUUGAACAAAAACUAGCCACGUUAAGUCUUUCAUUUUUUUGCAACUGCUUAUGACAACUCUGUCGAGACUGCGGAAACCACUUUGAAAAAGCUUCUUCACCUCUUCUGUGCUGUCAAUCUUCAUCUCUUCCAAGUUAAUGUCUUCAAGAUCUAACUCCUGAAGAUUCUCCAUGUAUGCGAGAUGUAAGAGAUUGAACGGUGCACUUUUACAAUGGUAAACCAAUACAAAUUGAGUGAUGCUCACCAGCUUUGGAUAUUUCAAAAACUUUUGGACAGCAAGUGAACUUCCGAAGGACCAGCUUAAAACAUUUAAAUGCUUCAAACCCAGCAAUUCCUUCAUCAAAGGUUCAGCACCAUCACAUAGAACGUUACCUUCUUUCCCUUUUAUUACCGAAAGCGACCGCACCCACGCAACCUGAGUACCUCCAACUUUGAAAAGCCAGAUAUCAAUUCAUGUGGAAUUAUAGACAAAUGAAAUGCAUAGUCCAAGUUCAAAUAUCUCAGCUUCUCCAAUGCCUUCAGCUCUUGCGGCAACCCAGUUAUGUCAGUCGAUGAAAGAUCAAGAUGAUGUAAUGAAACCAAACUUGAAAUCCCUGAAGGUAGUUUACUUAGGGAAAGAUUUAUUCGUAGACUUAAUACUCUAAGAGAAGACAUCGAUUGAAAGAAGCCAUCAGUAAUCUCCUCAAUCCAAUUUCCAUCCAGAAGUAAAGUGACGAGACGUGGACACGUGGGAAUUUCCGAUAGGCUUUGAAUUCUAGUUUUCAUCAGAGAUAUCCGUUUGGCACCUUCCCAUUCUUCAACCUUUGGUGCUUCGGUCAGUUUAACUCCAGCGUGAACCAGAAAGUUCUGCUCCUCCUUGUCUACCGUGCACGCUAUCCAUAAUGACAUCUCACGAAUCAUAUCGUGCAUCUUUACAUGAUCAUCGCCUUCUUCCUCCAAUAAGCAUGCUUGAAGAAGGUCAUCAAUAAAAUCGCAUCCAUCAUCAAAAUCACACACAAAUCCUUCACUAAUCCAGUAAUCAAUCAAUUCCCUUCUAGGAAUUUCGUAGUCUUCAGGGUACAAACAACAAUACAGGAGACAGGAACGAAGUUCGUCCGUAGACAAACUAUCAUAGCUGAACUUUAAACGCGAAAACACCUCUUCUUUCAUACCUGAGCAUUUAGAAGCUGAUGUUCUCAUUUUGUGAAUUGCACGUUUCCAAUCUCCAACUUUCCUUUGGCUUUUCAUCGCUCGACCCACUGUUUUAAGCGCUAGCGGCAACCCACCACACUCUCUUGCCAAGGUUUCGGCUAGCUCUGGAAUACUGGUAUGACUGUCAAGAGUGGAUCUUUCGACCAUCUCCUGAAAUAAUUCCCAGGCUUUAUCAUGCGCCAAACUAUACACUUCCACCUUUUCAGCGUCCAUUUGAUCGCAAACACCAGCUGAACGAGUUGUCAAGACUACUUUGGACCCAUCAUUUAGUUUUUGAAGAGGGACACCCAAUUGUGUUAAAUCAAUGCGUUCCCAUAUAUCAUCCAAUAACAACACAAACUUCUUUCCGCUUAAAAUUCUAGCGAUGUCCGCAGCCUUGUCUCGAGGACUUUUUUUCUCCCACCUUUGGUCUUCUGAAAAGCCAAUCCUUUUUCCAAUGUCAUCUUGAAGUGUUGACGCAACCGCCCAGAUAACAACAUCAAAAUUAUGCUGUUGAUGGCAGAAGUUGUUGUUGACUUGUUUUAAAAGGGUAGUUUUGCCGGCUCCCCCUAUACCAUACAAGCCGAUAAUUCCCCUGUUCUUUUCCUGAUCAGUGAUACAUCUCCAAACUUGAUCAAGUAAUAGUUCUUGACCAACAACUGUGUGAUCAAGAGGUAAUUCAAUUGCUGCACCAUCUGGCGCCUUCUCAACAACGACUUCAAUUUUUUCUCCGUCUUUCUUUAAAUUGAUCACUCGAUCCGUCAACUCGACCACCUGAGUCCCGUAAUUGUAGCUUGAAACGAAGUUUUUGGAACAGAGGCCUCCAAGGCACAAUCUAUCCAUUUCUUGAGCUCUAACUCGUUCCAGCUCGGUAAAUUCAGUUUCCAGAUUUUGCACAUCUUCAAGCCACCCUGCGACCUGGUUCGUUCGUCUGGUUCGAGGUCGUUGUUCUUCGACCUCAACCUUGGUCUUCAGAUCGUCCCUUGCUCGAGUCAAUUUGUGCAAUUCAGUCUCCAAGACCCGAAGAUUUUUUUCGAGACCCCAUACAUAUUUUGCUUGUUCACCAACGCAGUUUGAAGUUCGAUCAAAUAAGUCUGCUGGUAAGAAGGUUGAGAUUAAGUUACCCAUUGUCGUUGACGAAAAGAGGAAGAGAAGCAAUGAGUACAAUGAAAAGAAUUAUGCUGCUUUGGAGAGGGUUAUAUUUGGAGAAGCACAAUACCGAAAUAAAAAUAUGAUACAUUUGUUGCUUUAUAAUUCAUAUGUCAAAUAUCGCGAACAUAAUGAUACGUUUACACGUCAUAUAAAAUUUGUAAUUCAUUUCAGUAAUGACAGAAUUAAUAUUAAAUCUUAUCAUUUAUUAUUUAAGUGAUAAAUUUAUAUUGAGAAUAUUUAUUUAGAAUAAAAAUUUUGUGCCUUUACUUUGGAUGAAGAUUCAAAAUAUUAAGUCAAUGAUAGCUAGAUAAAAAAAUAAAAUAAAAUAAAAUAAAUUUUAACAUAAAUUUUUUAUUUAAUAAAAAAUAAAUUCAAUAUAAAAUUCUAAUCCCUUAGAUUUACAAGUGCAAUCAUUGAUGAUGUAAAGAAUUAUUAUUUUUUUGGUUAAAAUACUAAGAUAUGGACAGUCAAUCAUUAGCCAUAUGGAUUCAAUUUCUUGAUCGACCAAAAACCUUGUUUCGACUGAAAUCUAUACGUGCAAGUGAACAUAAAUGAACAAGCUUUCAUCUGGAUUUACAGAGUGUGAAGUAAAUGGUGCGCGGUUGGAGGGGGGGGGAGCUUAAAUGGCAUGUUUUAUUCAAACGAUGCUGCAACUGCAGUUCUUAGUAGUUGGAUUCAGAAAACUAAGCUUCGAUAUCAUGACAUAACAAAAGAUGCAAUAAAAAUUGCACGGACAUAAUAGUUGUCAUGCUUCCAUAACAACGUUACCAAGUCGGUAAAAGCUAGGAAUAACAAAACACAUAAAAGUAGUUUCAUAUUAGAGAAUAUCUGAAUUUCCUGGUUGGUGGAGUUUCUUUGAUGAUCUUGUUCGAAAGCUAAUACCAUUCAACUCUAAAAUGUACCUCAAAGUAUCAAUCAUCUCAAUUAACUAGCCACAAAGUUUCCUUAGCUUGCCACAGUUCAGUUGUAGCAAACUACCAAAGCCCAUUUGACAAGCAGCCACUCUUUGUUCAUCUGUCAGCUGUGAAAGUGCCACCGCUAAUCUAUCUGGAGUCCAUCUGGUUAAGAACUUUGCCUUUGCGACUGCUGACUUCACUAUUCGUUCGCAUUGACUUUGUAUUGACAUUUUUUACCCGGCGGUAAAUUCUUAAACAUGGAUUCAAUUUCCGUCCAGUACACAAUCAUGGCAAAUAAACUAACUACGCCUUCACUACUUGAAAAUACAAAUUUAUUUUAUUUGUAACGCAAGUCAUUCCAUCGCUUGCCUUAACCUCACGCACGGCUUCACCGCUGCAAUAUCAUCAUAUGACUGCGAAAUUAUAUAUCUCUAUAAUUUUGUGAUGCAUAUGCAUUUUGCUUUUCAUGCCCUUGCAUUACUGAGCUGAUUUAUAUUCUCUGCUUGCAGUUUCAUUCACUAAUAUCCUUUAAUUGUUGUCAACGUCUUCUGGUCUAUAUUUGAUGAGCAUAGUAAAUACCUACUUUUGAUGCUCCAUAUACAAGUAUUAUCAGUCUGUUGCAAAUAGAUGUUUAUCACUAAUGUUGAAAUCGUAAAAUUUUAGACAUACUAGAACCUAAAAUCAAUGAUCCAAAGAGCCAUCGCCGUUUUUUGGAGCAGUUCUUGCAAUAGAUUCCCACUGUGGUUUUGAUUAAUUUGGUCAUGAUGCUUGUGUGCAGUGAUACUGGUAGGAAAGUUGAUGAUCCUGAGGUGCUUGAGGCAAUUCGUUUGACAGUUAUAAACAAUCUACUUCAGUAUCACCCAGUAAUCAUUUUUUUGUCUCUCUUGAGAUAUAACUUGGUGGAGCACCUGUAGGAAUUGUCUUAUUGAAAAGCUUAUUCCAUUUGUGUUGGUGUUGGAAUCAGGAAUCAAGUUCCCAGUUUGCAAUGGGUGUUGCCUUUGGCGUUGAUCCUCCAAAACAACAGGUUUUUGCUUUCUGGUCUUAUUUUGAUUUUUCAGAUUAUUGAUAUUUUUGGCUCUUCUCAGUAGUGGAUCAUUUGAAUAGGAAACUAAGUUGUUUUUAGAGUUCUCUUAGGCCAAAUAUUACUUCACUUUUAUCCUCAUUUUAUUUAAAGACAUUAUAUUCAAUUUGCCUGCCAUUGAAAUUAAUAUCAUGUUGUCAUGAAUGUUAAAAACUAUGCAUAUGAGUUAUUAUGGGAAGGAUAAUGUCCCACUUCAAUCUUGUCUCAAAUCUUGUUGUGCUGGAAUUUGUCAGGUUGAUGUGGACAUAGCAACCCACAUAAGCAUCUAUGAUGAUGGCCCCAACCGAAGGUAAUGCAUAAUUCAUUCUCUUAUCUAGAUGAUGGGGCUUUUGCUAUCCACCAAACUUUGGUCCCACACUAUUACUACUCAUACUCCAGCCCAAGUGGCAAUUUCCUGCCCAUAACUGAAGUAGUCAGAUAAUUUGGCCCUUACUAUUUUUGUUUAUUUUACCUUUUGUUUUAUUGAAGUUUGCUUUUGGUGGAGACGGCUGAUCGACCUGGAUUAUUGGUGGAUCUUGUAAAGAUUUUUACUGUCAUCAAUGUCAAUGUUGAAUCGGGAGAGUUUGAUACUGAGGUAGUGAGGUAAUCUUUUAUAACAAACUCUAUAUAUAUAUAUAUUGACAAAAGAGUGGCCUUCCCUUAUAAAUAUAUUUUGUUCUAAUUUUUGUUUUCGCACCCAGGAGUUGUUGGCUAAGGCAAAGUUUCAUGUCAGCUACAAGGGUGAAGCCAUUAUCAAGCCUCUCCAACAGGUAAAAACAACAGGCCUACAUAUAGGACAUCGGAAAUUGCUUUAUAGAUUGUUUGCUCUGAAGAAUAAAGAGACUUACCAUUUCUACUCAAAAUCGGUAUUCUAGUUGCAAAACUGUUCUUAUAUAAAAGAUUUGAAUUUAAACUUUGAAGUGGGCGGUAAGAACAUUAACGUGCUAAUGAUCACACGGUGCACCUGAAGGCUUGGACGAUCGUUGAUGUACUGAUUAGACUUUGCUUGAUCAAAUUUGCAGGUUCUUGCUAACAGUUUGCGAUAUUUCUUGAGGCGACCAACAACCGAGGAGGCAAGUUUUUGAGCUCUUGUUGAAGACUCCACCAACCAAAUUCAGGAUUACACACACUUGAUGAAUUUUUUUAUUUCUCUCCCCAGUAAACAUUCACAAGGGGAAUUACAAUAUGUUGUCUCCCUAAUCUCCUUACAUAAAAUAAAUAAAACAUGAGAUAUAUAUAAACGGACAACAUUUUAAUGAUAUAUCAUAUGGUAAACACUUAUAAAAUAGAAACCUUGCUAAUUUUAUCAUCCUCAUCAAUUCAUAGUCCUUUUUAAAUAAUUUUCAAGUUUAGGGAUAUGAUAUAGCUGUGUUGUAUUACUCAUAUUAAUCUUAAGCCUAAAGUUUGCAAUGGGUUGAUGAGCAUACAACCUUUUUCUAUUCAUGGAUUAAAAUAAUAAUAAUAUUAUUAUUAUUAGUUUUUUUUUUUUUUAUGUGAACCUUAGUUUACAUCCUAAAUUUUCCUAUAUCAACAUUUCAUUCCAGUACGCAAACAAGAUACAUCACUAUGGUUUCUUUAAUUUCAUUCUGUUUUCAUGCUUUGAAAAUUAGCGUCAUGACAUUGAUUCAGCAACUUUCACAAAACAGAAACAUAAAGGAGAUUUUUACCAUGUGGCUUUGGUGCAUUGGUCAUCAAAAUCUGCACAAUUAAUUAUAAAGAAUAUACGAUGUUUGCGCGUGCAAUUAUGAACGACUCAUCUUAUAUCAACUUAAGGGCAAAAUUAUUUUAAAAUCUCUUUGUAUAUAUGUUACAAUGUCAUUAAUUUUUUUUGUCAAUGGUCAUAGUUUAUUUAAUUGGCUACCAUUUUUAAGUUUCUUAUGACAGUUAACGGGUGAGGUAAAUCGAACACUUAAUUUUUUUAUAUUUAUAUCGUCAAUGGUGGAUUCAAGAAAAUAAUUUAUCGAUGACUAAAUUAUAUGACGACACGAUUCGAAAACUCAAAUUUUAUAGGUUUAAUAAAAACUAAAUUAAAUAAUAGUAAACCACCUAUAUGGGUUACCUCAUAACUUUUUAUAUUUUAAUUAAAGUGUGGUUUUUGUAAUUCUCAAAAUUAAAAUUUUAUAAAUUUUGAAUUUAUAAGACUAUUUUUAUAAAUUUAACUUGCCUAUUUUAAUAUAUUCAACAGAAUUAAUUAAUAACUCAAAUAUUUUUUUUAAUUAUUCUCUCUGUCCCACUAAUCAUGAGGUGAAUCCACCUCUAUAUCUCAUUUUAUAUUGUGUAAUCUCGUUAUGACUAAAAAGUACCUCCCUUAGAUUCAACUACUUAUCUAGGGAAAGUUUUUAAAAGCUGAGUCCACAAGCCAUGUCCCAUAACUUAGAUGACUGAAAAACAAAAACAAAACAAAAGGGAACAAAAGAAGGCCAUGCGGCCCAUGCUCUGCAAUGAGUGCUCCCUAAUGAUCAAGAAAGAGUAUUAUAAUUUAAUAUUUAUCCAAACAGAAAAUGACGUACACGGGAACAAUAAAUGAUCUCCCUAGAGAUGAGAGAAAUGGAUAACAAUAUUCUCUUAUUUAACUUCACUAUAUAAAGAGCUCUCUAUCAAAAUCAUAAUUCAAUUCAUUCCACCCACAUUGUUUGGAAAGAGAGAAAGUGAGAGAAAAAAGAAGGAAAAUAUGACAGGAUCAUUUGCUAGAGGAGCUCCCACCUUUAACUCCAUGUUUUUCAAGUAAUGUUUUCAUUAUCUAUCUACUUUGCUAUUUCAUCAUUUCAUUUUGACAAUCGCACUUCAUUAUUGCAUGGUAUGUUUGUAAAUAAAUGUUUUCACUUUAUCUAAAUUAAUUUUGUUAUGAAACAGUUCGUUCGAAAUAGGCCUAAUAGUUUCAAAUUAUUUAUUUACUAAUUAUGAGUGGUUGGUUAAGUACAUAGAAUUAAAUGUUUUAUUAACUGAACCAAUAUGUCUCCACAGGGGCCUCAGGUUAAAAAAAAUUAUCAAGAAAUAUGAAAGUCUUCAAUUAAAUUUGUCUCUGUGUCUGAUAAUUUUAUUUUGUAGCCCCCAUAUGUUUAUAUUCUUGUGGUAUAACCUACUUAAAAUUUGUUGUUUCUGUAUGAUUGAUGACAUCCAAAAUCCUGAUUUCGCCACUGUCCACGCAAUAAUAAAAAGAGAUUGCUUUCAUUCAUUUGAGUGUUUGAAUAUUUUACUCUUUGUUUUUGCAUUAUUAAUUUGUUGAGUCUUUUUGAAACAUAUAGGCCAAUGAUGAGGAAAUCCUUUCAAAAGAAAACAAGUUCUUAUGAUAUGAUGAGAGAAACAACAUUGAAAUCCAAUGCAGAAGAAGGAAAUGUGAUGAGGAGCCAACAGUUGAAUAAUAAUGUGGGAGAAAAUGAAGGGAAUUGUGGUUGGGUUCCUCAUGAAAGAACUGGGAUUUAUUACCCAAAAGGCCAUGAAAAAGUUAUUGACGAUGUUCCUCCUAGCGCUGGAAGAGAUUUUGAAGUUAAUUGGUUCUCAGAAACUCAUGGAUAAUUUAUGGAUAUGUUUUUUUUUUUUCAAAUUACUACACAUGCUUAAAGCGAAAAGGCUUUCUAUUGUCUCAAAGCAAAAUCCGAUUGUGAAAAAAAAAAUUAAAAUAAAAUAACAAUAAUGGAAAAUGAAAUCAUUUAGAUUCAGCUCAAUGCUAAGCAUUCCAAAAUUUAAGUUUCAAAAGAUAUGACAAUCAUUUAUUAGAUGGUGGUUAAAUAAUUUUACAAGUUAUGAAAUCUAUCGUCUAAUAAAUGAAUAACGUGUGACUUUUAAGACUUAAGAAGUUAAGACUAAAAAAUUAGGAUCUUAAUAUUAUUCUUACUUUUAUAUCAUCUUUUUAUUUAGGUCUAUUGUUUAUUGUCGUCUGAUUCUUCAAGCUAAAUGUACAAAACUACAAAUGGAUUAGGUGGGCCUCGCAUGGGCUUAAUUUUUUGUUAUGGCUCAUGAGUGGUCCUAUUGGUACCCCUAAAAAACCUUCUCAAACCCUUCUUUUAUAAUCAUGCAUUUGUCCCUAUUUAAAUUUACAAUGAUAAACAGAAGAAAUUAAAUUUUAUUCAAAUAACUAGUCUCCAUAAUUACAAUCAUGUGAAACCAAAACUCGACUUAACAAUUUAUUAUUUAUUUUGACGAUAUUUAGUUGACAUUCCUUGUUUAUCAAAGCACAAUGUAUUUUCUUAAAUUUUGAUAAAAUUUUAAUUAUUUUGUUAUUAUUAUUUAAGAUGAAACCUUAAAAUAUCAAUAACCAAUGUUGGAUGUUGUUAUAAGAAAUUCUAAUGAAAAUAUUAUGGAAAUAGCUUUUAAAAUUAUAAGUUCUAAUGGAGAUAAUGAUUAUUCGAAAGUUGAUGCCAUCAGAUUUGGGUUUCAAGCUCCCCAAGACGAAGAAAAUGUGAAAAUGGGGUUGGUGUGUAAACCAAGGGUGUUUUUGGAAUCAACUUAUGUGGGUUUAGAAAUCGAGUGAGGCUAUAUACACUCUAAAAAUUACACUAAACACCAUAAUUUUAUAAAAAAAUUUAUUUCAAUAAUAUUUAUGGUAUAAAUUAUUAUUAAGGACAUGACAAUUAUUAAUUUUUUUUGUAUGACUAUAAUUACUUCUUUUUCAGUUAUAUUAUGAUGAUAUUAAACAAGUUUACAUUGGUUGCUUGAUUUUUUCUUUUGGCCAAAAAAUACAUGUCAUUCCACAAUACCAGAGUAACAUGGACAAUUAUUCAGACUCUUACAAACUAGUCUGCAACUGAGGCAUUACAACCCAGCAAACAUUUUUGCGACAUAAAAAUGUUCAGACAAAUCCAGAUUAAAAAAAAAAGGGCUUAAUUUACCAUCCUCUUUUGACAAACUUUGAAUUUUCUGACAUUCAAUUGGAGGUGGAAGUGGCAUCAUAGUUGUACUGAAGAAGAUCGUCAUAAGGGUCCCAGGCACCUACUCUGAAUCAUUCUUUCUUGUCCCUCUCUUUCAAGUCCUCCAUCAACCUCAAAAUCAUAUUCUCAGCAAUUAAAAAUUUCAUCUUCACUUCUCUUCUUGAUUCUAAGCUCAGAACUAUGAAGCGCAAGCUGCGUCUUUUAUUUAGCUAAAUGAUAUAUUGGUUAAUUGAUUUAUUUGUUCGGAUUAUAAUGUUUAUUUCUCACGAUCUUUUCAUUGGUGAAAUUUUUUGAUGGAUUUUUUUAGUUGCUCCUUUAUCAUUCUUCAUUUAUUGGAGAAAUAUAUUAUACAACCAAAUAAUUAAAUUUUAAUGAUAAAAGAGUGUUUAGAGAAAUAUUUUGAAUAUGUAAGGCGUUUUCAUGAGUGUGUUAGAGUAAAUUAAUUUAAAAAGGAUUAAAUGAGUACAUUUUUGGUACUUUAAGGAAUGUACAAAAUAUAGUUCAUUUUUUUAAAUUAAUAAAUAAGUGUAUAUAGUAAUAAAACUUUGAGAAUAAUUUUUAGACUACAAAUAACUCUGCCCUUAGAAAUAAUAUUAUUUUUUGAAUGAUUUAGUGGGCAUAUUGAAUAAAGAUUUUUAUGAGGGCUUUCAAAGGUGCGAUAGUUCUACUCAUGACUCAUUUUUCUGCUAUUAGGAUUUACUCUUUGUUUCGUACUUUCAUUUGAGUGGAGCUCUCUCUGUCUCUCUCUCUCUCUCUUUGGAAAUGGAAAGCUUCAAUCAAUCACUUCAAGGAAAAAGACUUACAUGAGUUGAAAUUUCCUCCAGCCAAAUUACACGGCCCGAAUUGUUAACAUCAUAUUUAUCUAAUUUAUGAGCGGUCUCACUACUACUGCUCAGUAUAAGAUUGAUUUUGAAGUGGUCUUUCACAACCAUACAAUUUCGAAUCUCGAAAAUUAACCAUGAUAUUUCUUUCAUACUUCUUUCAAAACCUUUCGCCAAGUUUAAAAUAGUCUUCGAGUCUGAUUCAACAAUUAAUGGCAUUAAACCAAAGUCUAUUGCCAUUUUUAUUCUAAAAUUCAUAUCUUCAGCUUUAGCAUAUUCAACGUCCCCAUGAAAAUCUAUAUUCUGAAUUCCUACACUCCAAAAUCCUUAUAAAGCUUGUUUUAAUUUUUAUUUAUCAAAGUACCUUGGUUUAAUUUAUAAAAUACUAAUCCAUAAAUUAAAAUUAAUAAUCUUCUCAUUAAAUUUCACCUUAAAAAGAUUAUAAAUUAUUAAAAGUUUCUAAAAAUUAUAUAUAUAUAUAUAUAUAUAUAUAUGAAAUGAGGUGGGUGGAAAAAUGUUAAAAGAAUAAUUUUAUUUAAGUAUUAAUUAAAUUUUCAAUCAAAAUAAAAAUGGAAUUAAUUUAUCUUUAAUUAUUUAAAUAAUUUUAAUUAAAGAGUUAUAAGGAAUUUAAAGGAGGGUCUUAUAGGGGGUGUCAAAAGGCUGCGAUCUAAUGCUUCCGUUCAUCACAAUCUGCUACUGCGAUUGAUCGCGAUCUGCAGCCGUGGUCGCGCUCGUCCUGUCGCCGUUUGUCGUCGCGAUCUGUUACCUUCGGUGAAGAGGAGCACAAUGUUUGUUUUGGGAAUUAUAAUUUUAUAUUUUAAAUUAUUAAUUUCUUAUAUUGUUUGGCCACUGAUUGUACAUUAAAAUUAUAUAGAUUGGUGUUUGUAUUAUUUCAUUGUUUGCUUAUUUGUUAUUAAUGUUAUUAUUGUUUAUUAUUAUUAUUAUUAUUAUUAUUGUAGUAUUAGUAGUUGUUAUUUAAUUUCAUUAUUAUCAUUAAUUAUUACUAUUAUUUAUUUAUAAUGUUAUUAUUAAAUUUAUUAUUAUUAUCAUUAAUACCAAAGGACAACUAUUAUUAUUAUUAUUAUUAUUAUUAACAACUAAGGGCGUUUUAGUAACUUAAAACAACUUAACAUAUUCCGAUUCCGAUUCUUAGAUAAAGUAAACACAUCAAUGGGGUUUUAACUCAUUCCGAUUCCAAUUCCGAUUGCUACAGUUUAAGUAAACAACUUAUUUUGAUUCUCAUUCCUCAUUUUCAUUCCGAUUCUAACCCAUUCCGAUUACUGACAAGUAAACGCAUUAUAAAGGAAAGGAAAAAAAAUUAAUUAUUUUUUUUACCAAAUAUAAUUAUAACAAAUUAACUAAAUAUUUACUAAGAGUUCAGCAUCUGAGUUCCCAAUCCAUAAAUAUGCCAGCAUUUUAAAACAAACAAGACUUAAGCGACAAAUACAAUUUUGUCGACGAGUAUAAAGGUCGCAUUAUAAGCCAAAGGCGAGCAGUUAAGAGAAGAUAAAAUUUUACCGUAUUAAACUUGUAAUUGUGGAUGCCUGGCCUGGUGUUAAAAAGGAUUUAGAGCCACAAAAAGUUUUUGACCAAACCAAAAAGAAGUAGCAAAGCAAAAAAAGGAUAAUAGCAAAGCAAUAAAUCUACAAGUCAUCACAAUCAUGCAACUCUAUAGCAAGAAAAAAAGAAAAAGAAAAAGGAAAUACAUAUUCAAACAUAUUAAUAAUAAGGAUCCUCCCAAAGUACGGCACAGGAAAAGAAAGCAUUUUGGGUGGCUUGUUCCUCCCAUUGUAGCUCUUCCCACCAUUUUUUCGUUCCCUCGAUGACAACUCGACGUCCCUUCGCGCUGCUGGAAUUGAGUGGGAGCUUCUUCAGCUGUCGGCAAUGAAAUACUUGAAUUUUCUUCAGCUUUGGAAAGGGCAGGGGAUUCGGGUAAACGCUCUUUAAAUUUGUUCCCCGCCACAUGGUUAGAUAUUCGAGUCGUGCGAAAAAGUUAUGCUCUGACCUGAUUAUCUCUGAAAUAUCACUCAAUUUAUCAACACUGAUUAUUUCUUCCAUAGUAAAACCCUGCAUAUUUAGCUGCUCGAGGUUUUGAACAAAAACAAGCCACGUUAAGUCCUUCCCUCUGCAAGACCUUAGGACAACUGUGUUAAGACUGCGGAAACCAUUUCGAAAAAGUUUCUUUACCUCUUCUGUGCUGUCAAUCUUCAUCUCUUCCAACUUAGAGGAUUCAAGUUCUAACUCCUGAAGAUUCUCCAUGUAUGCCAGAUGUAAGACAUUGAACGGUGGCCUUGUAUACGUGCCACAUUCAACCCAUACAGAUUGAGUGAUGCUCACCAGCUUUGGAUAUUUCAAAAACUUUUGGACAGCAAGUGAACUUCGGAAGGACCAGCUUAAAACAUUUAAAUGCUUCAAACCCAGCAAUUCCUUCAUCAAAGGUUCAGCAUCAUCACAUAGAACGUUACCUUCUUCUUCUUCUAUUACGCUCCAGCGACCGCGCGAAAGCAACCUGAGUACCUCCAACUUUGAAAAGCCAGAUAUCAACUGAGGUGGAAUUAUAGACAAAAACCGUGUAUGGUCCAAGUUCAAAUAUCUCAGCUUCUCCAAUGCCUUCAGCUCUUGCGGCAACCCAGUUAUAUUAGUCCGUGAUAGAUCAAGAUGAUGCAAUGAAACCAAAUUUGAAAUCCCUGAUGGUAGUUUACUUCGGGAAAGAUUUAUUCGUAGACUUAAUACUCUAAGAGAAGACAUCGAUUGAAAGAAGCCAUCAGUAAUCUCCUCAAUCCAAGUUCCAUCCAGAAGUAAAGUGACGAGACGUGGACACGUGGGAAUUUCCGAUAGGCUUUGAAUUCUAGUUUUCAUCAGAGAUAUCCGAUUGGCACCUUCCCAUUCUUCAACCUUUGGUGCUUCGGUCAGUUUAACUCCAGCGCGAACCAGAAAGUUCUGCUCCUCCUUGUCUACCGUGCACGCUAUCCAUAAUGACAUCUCACGAAUCAUAUCGUGCAUCUUUACAUGAUCAUCGCCUUCUUCCUCCAAUAAGCAUGCUUGAAGAAGGUCAUCAAUAAAAUCGCAUCCAUCAUCAAAAUCACACACAAAUCCUUCACUAAUCCAGUAAUCAAUCAAUUCCCUUCUAGGAAUUUCGUAGUCUUCAGGAUAUAAGCAACAAUACAGGAGACAG
rnacentral:lncRNA from 1 species